rnacentral:rRNA from 1 species
CCAAUAGCGUAUAUUAAAGUUGUUGCAGUUAAAAAGCUCGUAGUUGAAUUUCGGGAUUAAUAUGCUGGUCGUGCCAUUGGUACGUACUAGUAUUAUUGAUUUCUCCCUUCUGAUGAAUCAUGAUGUCAUUAAUUUGAUGUCAUGGGGAAUCAGGACUGUUACUUUGAAAAAAUUAGAGUGUUUAAAGCAGGCUCGCGCUUGAAUACAUUAGCAUGGAAUAAUGAAAUAGGACGUUUGAUUCUAUUUUGUUGGUUUCUAGGAUUGACGUAAUGAUUAAUAGGGAUAGUUGGGGGCAUUAGUAUUCAAUUGUCAGAGGUGAAAUUCUUGGAUUUAUUGAAGACUAACUACUGCGAAAGCAUUUGCCAAGGAUGUUUUCAUUAAUCAAGAACGAAAGUUAGGGGAUCGAAGACGAUCAGAUACCGUCGUAGUCUUAACCAUAAACUAUGCCGACUAGGGAUCGGAUGAUGUUAAUUAUG